rnacentral:rRNA from 1 species
UACCUGCAGCUCAAGUAGUGACCACUAUUAUUGGGCCUAAAACGUUCGUAGCCUGUUUGGUAAAUGCCUGGGUAAAUCGUGUAGCUUAACUAUACGAAUUCCGGGUAGACUGCCAAACUUGAAACCGGGAGAAGCUAGAGGUACUUCUGGGGUAGAGGUGAAAUUCUGUAAUCCUAGGGGGACCACCAGUGGCGAAGGCGUCUAGCUAGAACGGGUUUGACGGUGAGGAACGAAGCCCUGGGGCGCAAACCGGAUUAGAUACCCGGGGUAGUCCAGGGUGUAAACGCUGCUUGCUUGGUGUUAGUUGGGCUCCGAGCCCAAUUAGUGUCGGAGAGAAGUUGUUAAGCAAGCUGCCUGGGAAGUACGAUCGCAAGAUUGAAACUUAAAGGAAUUGGCGGGGGAGCACAGCAACGGGUGGAGCGUGCGGUUU